GUAUUCACUUCAGCAGCACAUAGAUUAACUUGGAAAAGAGAAUAUUAGCAUAGCCCCUGUACAAGGAUGACAUGCAAAUUUAUGAAGUACUCCAUAAUAAA
ensembl:snRNA U6 U6 spliceosomal RNA